rnacentral:lncRNA from 10 species
GCGAGCGACCGGGCCGAGGGGAGGCCAGCGAAGCCGAGUAAAACCGCCGCCCGGGAGAAGACUGAAGGAGCAGUUGCCGCCGUUGGCGGCGGCCCGAGCAGUUUUCGCUGCUGCUACGGCUGUUGCCAUGAGGCGAGGCUAGGGAGGACCUCACUUCCCCGGGGUGUAAUAAUGUUAACUGAGAUACAUUCCUAUAUGAUACAAUUCUUUAUAAAUUCAGUGCUACAGAUACAGUUAAUGAGAGGGACCUUGGAUAUCAUGUGUUUUCAACUGUUGUACAGAUGAAGAAACCAUGGCUUGGAGAGGUCAACAAAAAGUAGCUAGCCUGGAACCUGGUCUAGAAAUUGUGUCUUCUAACAACAGGCCCAGUUUUGUUUUGUUUUGUUUUUUAACGUUUGGAAGUUGAGUUAGCAUUGACAUAAUGUAAAAUUAGCCAUUUAAAAAUGAGUGAUUCAUUGGUAUUGAGUUCAUUCACCAUGGUAUGCAACCACCACCUCUAAUUAGUGUCAGAACAUUUUUAUCACCCUAAAAAGAAGACUGUAUCCAUUAAGCCAUUUUCCUCUUCCGCCCCAGCCCGUGGCAGUCACCAAUCUGAGUUCUGUUACUAUGGAUUUAUGUAUUCUGGAUAUUUUAUAUAAAUGAAAUCACACAAACUG